AGUGAACGCUGGCGGUAGGCCUAACACAUGCAAGUCGAACGGCAGCACAGUAAGAGCUUGCUCUUACGGGUGGCGAGUGGCGGACGGGUGAGGAAUACAUCGGAAUCUACUUUUUCGUGGGGGAUAACGUAGGGAAACUUACGCUAAUACCGCAUACGACCUACGGGUGAAAGCAGGGGAUCUUCGGACCUUGCGCGAUUGAAUGAGCCGAUGUCGGAUUAGCUAGUUGGCGGGGUAAAGGCCCACCAAGGCGACGAUCCGUAGCUGGUCUGAGAGGAUGAUCAGCCACACUGGAGCUGAGACACGGUCCAGACUCCUACGGGAGGCAGCAGUGGGGAAUAUUAGACAAUGGGCGCAAGCCUGAUCCAGCCAGACCGCGUGGGUGAAGAAGGCCUUCGGGUUGUAAAGCCCUUUUGUUGGGAAAGAAAAGCAGCAGGUUAAUACCCCGCUGUUCUGACGGUACCCAAAGAAUAAGCACCGGCUAACUUCGUG
rnacentral:rRNA from 1 species